rnacentral:rRNA from 1 species
UACGUAGGUUGCAAGCGUUAAUCGGAAUUACUGGGCGUAAAGCGUGCGCAGGCGGUUAUGUAAGACAGGUGUGAAAUCCCCGGGCUUAACCUGGGAACUGCAUUUGUGACUGCAUAGCUAGAGUACGGUAGAGGGGGAUGGAAUUCCGCGCGUAGCAGUGAAAUGCGUAGAUAUGCGGAGGAACACCGAUGGCGAAGGCAAUCCCCUGGACCUGUACUGACGCUCAUGCACGAAAGCGUGGGGAGCAAACAGG